rnacentral:rRNA from 1 species
GUCUAUGGCCAUGCCACUCUGAACAAGCCCAAUCCCAUCUGAUCUCAGAAGCUAAACAGGGUCAGGCCUGGUUAGUACUUGAAUAGGAGACCACCUGGGAAGACCAGGUGCUGUAGGCA